rnacentral:rRNA from 1 species
AGCGGCGGACGGGUGAGUAACGCGUGGGUAACCUGCCUCAUACAGGGGGAUAACAGUUGGAAACGGCUGCUAAUACCGCAUAAGCGCACAGUACCGCAUGGUACCGUGUGAAAAACUCCGGUGGUAUGAGAUGGACCCGCGUCUGACUAGCUAGUUGGUGGGGUAACGGCCUACCAAGGCGACGAUCAGUAGCCGACCUGAGAGGGUGACCGGCCACAUUGGGACUGAGACACGGCCCAA